CACCAUAUUACAUUGUUUAAGGGAUAUAUCAGUGGAGACCACCUCUUUCAGGGCAAUAGGAGACACCAUAUUACAUUGUUUAAUGGAUAUCAGUGGAGACCACCUCUUCCAGGGCAAUAGGAGACACCAUAUUACAUUGUUUAAUGGAUAUAUCAGUGGAGACCACCUCUUUCAGGGCAAUAGGAGACACCAUAUUACAUUGUUUAAGGGAUAUAUCAGUGGAGACCACCUCUUCCAGGACAAUAGGAGACACCAUAUUACAUUGUUUAAGGGAUAUAUCAGUGGAGACCACCUCUUUCAGGGCAAUAAGAGACACCAUAUUACAUUGUUUAAUGGAUAUAUCAGUGGAGACCACCUCUUUCAGGGCAAUAGGAGACACCAUAUUACAUUGUUUAAUGGAUAUAUCAGUGGAGACCACCUCUUUCAGGGCAAUAGGAAACACCAUAUGUCUCUAUAUACUCAGCCAGGGAAAGGGAGAAUCAUGUCUAAACCAAUUUAGGAUGGUUAAUUUUAUAACUUGAGAUAUAGCUGAAUUUAUCUAUGAUCUUCAAUGCGUUUGGGAGCGAUUGAGAUACAGAAAAAUAUUGUCUAUGUAUAACGAGAUGACGUGAUUAGCAGAUUUUAGGGAAAUUCGUGUUUUUGUCGAUUCACGAAUUACCUGGGAAAGGAGUUCAAUGGAUUUUAAAAAUAGCAGAGGAGAAAUCGGAUCGCCUUGUCUGCUGCUUCUAGUGAUUUUUAUUUAUUAUUUUAUUUAUCUGUUAUUUUACCAGGUAAGUUGACUGAGAACAUGUUCUCAUUUGCAGCAACGACCUGGGGAAUAGUUACAGGGGAGAGGAGGGGGAUUAAUGUGCCAAUUGUAAACUGAUGCUGAACGGAGCAGAUCAUUGCCUGUUAGAACUAUGGCUGAUGGAUUGGCAUAUAGGAUUUUAAUCAUAUGAAUGAAAUUUGAGCCAAUGCCAUAGGUUCAGACCGGUUGUUUUUAUUUCUAUACCUACCUAUUGUUCACCUAAUACAUAUUUUUGCACUAUUGGUUAGAGCCUAUCAGUAAGCAUGUCACUAAGGUCUACUACACCUGUUAUAUUCAGCAUUUCACUGUAAGGUCUACUACACCUGUUAUAUUCAGCAUUUCACUGUAAGGUCUACUACACCGGUUGUAUUCAGCAUUUCACUGUAAGGUCUACUACACCUGUUGUAUUCAGCAUUUCACUGUGAGGCCUACUACACCUGUUGUAUUCAGCAUUUCACUGUAAGGUCUACUACACCUGUUGUAUUCAGCAUUUCACUGUAAGGUCUACUACACCUGUUGUAUUAAGCAUUUCACUGUAAGGUCUACUACAUCUGUUGUAUUCAGCAUUUUACUGUAAGGUCUACUACACCGGUUGUAUUCAGCAUUUCACUGUAAGGUCUACUACACCUGUUGUAUUAAGCAUUUAACUGUAAGGUCUACUACACCUGUUGUAUUCAGCAUUUCACUGUGAGGUCUACUACACCUGUUGUAUUCAGCAUUUCACUGUGAGGUCUACUACACCUGUUGUAUUCAGCAUUUCACUGUAAGGUCUACUACA